AACCCUAACUUCUUAUUUCUCUUCAGCAGCCACCUAUGAAACCCUCUUCUCCUCUCAAACUCUCUUGAAGGGUCUCAAAACCCUAGCCCUUCUCACCUUCUCCGACCAUAAUCUCACCGGAAUCCAUGGCUUUCCAGGCCAUGGACGGCCUGUACUUACCUUACUUCACUCCUAAACCAUGGGUGUUCGAGAUUUCUAGGUCUGACCUCGAUGGAGUUCGUUCAAAUCCUCUACAGAUCCGUGGUUCCAUGGCCUCUCCGGCCUUGCUCCGGCGUAUUCGAGCUUUAGGAGCCUAGUUAUGGCCAUCUCCAACUCGAGACCAGACUCUUAUCCAAGACUUAUCAUUUCUAGGAUUUCAGAGAAACCCUAAAGCUAUCCGAGGUUCCUUCUUAUUUUAUUUGCAUAGAUCUGUGGUGAAUCUAUGCUGUCUUCAAUCUUUUAAGACUUUUCCUCAAUUUUCCUAUUUUAAAAUUAGUUUGUUUUUGAUUUAGGGUUUCUGAAUAGUCUCAAAAUGACUUCUGUCUCUUCUUCUUCUUUUCUUUGUAUGAAUCUGUCUAUGCCAUGCUCUUGUGAGUUUUUCGCUUGUAUUCUUAUGUUGGUUGUAUUUUGCAUGUUCUUAUAUUUUGUGCCCUGUCAUUUCUUCUACUGGUCUCUAUAAGCAUGCUUUUACAUGUCUACCUCGUAUGUUCCUUUACUGUAUUUUUUUACUAAGCUUUUAAUCCUUCUUUGCCUUACUGGACCUCCGUUGAACUCUAAGCAUGUUUUAUUUACUCUUUCCUAAGUUAUACAUCACCUCUUUUCUCUUCUAAAACUUGCUUAAGUUCCGAGUCUUCUUUAAAACAUUUUCUUUAUGUUUUUUUCAGUAUGUUGCUUCAAACUUGCUACUGUGUCUGUGUGUUUACUCAUGAGGCUCUAAAAGAGACCUCUGAGUCCAUUUCAAUGUCUUUCCUUCCCCUCUGCAUUACACUCGAGUUGGAAACCCUAGGGUUUGGGGUUUUUGACAAGUUUGAUUGGGUGUUCGUACUAUGGUUCUAUUUUAGAACCCUGGGCUCUCUCAAACUCAUUUUUUGGGUCUGGGAAAUAAACUCGACCUCUCUGUUAUGACUCUAAAUAUUUUCUAUACGAUUAUUUCUUGUCUGUGCUGUUUGAGUGCCUUAUAUAUGAGAACCUUUCUUUCAAAACGCUUUUUGCCGACUUGUGAUUGAUUCCAAACGCCUUUUUCUAAGGUUUGAUUGAGUGCUACUGAUUUUCUUUGAAUUAAACCUCUUUUCACCCUUUUCUGGUAGGAUUCAUUCAUAACUCAAACCCUGAUUUUAAUACCUACUGAUUGAUUGCUUUUCCUUAUUUUCCCAAACCGUGCUAUUUCCUUAAAUAAGCUUCUAUGUAUUUGCCCCUAUUAUACUGAUUUGGAAAAGAUUUUAAAACAAAUACUUUCCUUAAUUAUUUUGCCCGUUUGAAUCAAAUAUCUUAACCAAAGGGAAAUUUUAUGUGAUUGAUUUCGAAAUUAUUCUCUUACCUUUUUCUUUCUCGUUUUCUGCACUAUAAAAGGGGGCUACCCUUUUGCACUUGGAAAACAUGAUUUUACAUGCUUGAGCAUUGACAUUUUCACAAAUAAAUUGCACUCUCACUCAUAGUAUUAACCACUCUGCUUUCUACUCUCUCUUUUUCCUAUAAUUCUGCUCUGUGUUUUCUGAAACAACUUUGAGUUCUCUUCGAGCCUUCAAGUAUUCUACUGAAAAUUUAAGUCUGCUCAUCUUGUUUUUACUUGUUGUGAUUGCUCUGUUGUUCUGCUUGUUCUUACUUUGCAACUAGUAUGUUCUUCCUAGUUAAAUAAUGCUCCUUCACUAUGUGUUUCUAUCCUAGUCUGUUAUGUUUUCUUUCACUAUGUUUCUGCCAUUACUGUAUUUAUGUGUCUUUACCCCUUUACCCCUUUGUGUGUGAGUUGUGGUUCCAGCCAUAGUAGCACUUUAACAUUGUUGUCUAUGACUCUGAACUGGGUUCUUUGAACUCCCCAACUCAAUCAAUUCCCACUUCCUUUUUCCCUUUUAUGUGUUUGAGCCUUGACUUGGGUCUGGUGGUUCCCUAAUCACUAUCCAGACUUAGGUCUGACCUUCAAAGGUCUGCUCCUAACUUUCUUAACCCAAACACGUGGUCAGGCAUGUGCUAGUCUGCACAUGUGGCUAGGUAUGACGACCAUUUGUUAUGGUUCUCUAUUUCCUUUUGCACUUUGCACUUACUCCUAGAAAUAAAUUCUGCCCCUCUCUUGCAAGCCAUGCUUUGGGACCCUUGAGCUCCCUCUGAACUUGGAUGCCUGAGAGCUGGCUAUUCCACACUGCACUAUUCUAAUUCUAAGUGGUAUCUAGAGUGUAAGCAAUGCCGGGAACCCUUGAGAUUCCUUGUAACUUUAAAACACUUUGGAUAAAGAGAAAGCUUUGGAAAUCUGGAUUCCGGAAUUGGUUAAUCACAUAUUAUUGGACAUUAAGAUUGAAUUAGGCAGUUUGGAUCUAGCUGUAGUCUUUGAUGUAUUUUAUAUCUUUCUCUUCUGGUUUGUAAUAAGUUGUAAAGAACUUGGGAAAUAUAGUAAAGGGUGUGGGAGGGGUUUUACUUUCUUGCGUCAGUAAGGGUAGAUAUCAUGCUCUAGGACUUUAAGUUUGCUUGCUACAAAUCCUGCUUAUAGGACCGUUCAAUAUUUCUAAUUCAAAGUCACCAAGAGACAUGUCUAUAGGGUUAACUAUUAACUAUACUACGAAUCACAUAGAAAACAUGCCUAUAGGAUUGAACGUUCGUGUUCUGUAACCAUGCAUAUAGAGAUCCUGCCUAUAGGAGUUUUAAAACUUUUCUGAAAAUUCAUUUACAAAUACCAUGUCUAUAAGGAAUGCAUAUUCAUUAGGCAUUUGUAGGGUUAACUAAAAUAGCCACCUAUUCACAAAUCUUGUGACAGAAUCUGAAAAUCAAAUAUAGAUAUCAUGACUAUAGGAUUCGCAUCAAGCUUGUCUGAUCCGUUUAAAGCAGUAAUAGUCUAUUAACUGGUCCUUAACGUCUUAACUCAGUAACGUUUUCAAAAGCCUUAAUCUUUUUGACAAUACUCUCUUGAAUCAGUGUACAUUUGAGUUCUUCAAGUCUGCAUCUUUUCUGAAAUGGUUACUUUUCUAAUAUUCUGCCUAAACGCUUUCCAACUAAAUUCUAGUUUUUCUGAACUCGUCUUUUAAAAAAAUAACUCUGCAGCUUACUCUUUUCUUUAGAUAGAUCUGUCUUUUUCUCUAAAAUUCUUCACAACUAUUUCUGUGUUUUAUACUUGGGUCGUCUGCUACCUUUUCUUUUAGCAUUCAUUUCUAAACUUACUGCAGACUGUUCUUUCUUUUAAAAACUCUUUUGCAUUAGAUUAUUUUCUGAAACCAGUACCUUCUAAAGAACUCACUUAAAAUACCUUAAAUUUUAACAAUUGGAUCCAAGUUGCCUAUGCAGGCUUUCUAUCUAAAUAUAUGUGUCAAACCAGUCCGUUCGCUUUUUAAUUUAAAGACCAAAUCAGUACAUUCCAAGACACGCUAAACUAAGUGGUUGUCUGAUUUAAGGGAUUUUCUUUGAGCCUUACCUAUUUGUUUGUUCAUUCCCUCUAUUUGUUACUUUUUUUGUAUGUCGAAACUAGAACUUUUUCCUUUGAACUCCAUAAAUGCCCCUACCCCCUUUCUUCCCUAUUAGGAUUAGAAGUCCUAAUACCCCGGGACUGAUAGGUUGGAACGGGUACUAGCAUGCAAUAAGUAAUCGAGACUAAACACGCUUUAAUAACAUAACGGGGUGGGAAGGGGUAGAAUGUGAAUAUGAUGACCGGUGCGCUAAUAUCACGGGCGACCCCUCGUUUGAGGAGUGAUUGCUAGAUAUUGCAUUGAUGUGAUCCAUUUUUUGUAUAAACCUAGGACCCCUCUCCCCUUUUUCUUUACUUGCAAAUGUUUUCUUCAAAUUAUGUUUUCUUAAAAAUAAUCCUUCUUUUUCUAAAAUUGUUUAUUCCUCUCUUCUUUUAAAAGCUUUCAAACUUAUUUGUAAUGACUAUGUGCAAACCUUAUUUGUUCUUUGAUCUUCUUAAAGUCGCAAUUAUAGCAUGAUUGGGAACCACACUAGUGGAUCUUGAGGGGUGCUUAACACCUUCCCCUCGAGAUAAUCUCUAAGCCCUUACCCAAACUCUGGUUUCUUCUUCUCAAUUUCUUCAUUCCUUUAAAAGUGUCAUAAUGCACGAUAAUCAUUAGGUGGCAACUCUCCAAAAAUUCCAAAACCCAAUUCUCGCAAAGUAAUAAGAGUUUUCCCCUCAUAAUGCCGUAUACCCAAUUUUCGGACUCCCGGGUUCGCGAUGUAGAAAAAGCGAGCAUCGAUAUUCCUCUCUUCUUUUAAAAGCUUUCAAACUUAUUUGUAAUGACUAUGUGCAAACCUUAUUUGUUCUUUGAUCUUCUUAAAGUCGCAAUUAUAGCAUGAUUGGGAACCACACUAGUGGAUCUUGAGGGGUGCUUAACACCUUCCCCUCGAGAUAAUCUCUAAGCCCUUACCCGAACUCUGGUUUUCUUCUUCUCAAAUUCUUAUCUCCUUAAAGUGUCCUAAUGCACUAUAAUCAUUAGGUGACGACUCUCCAAAAUCCAAUUCUCGGAAGAGAAUACAGAGUUGUCCUCCCAUAAUAUUGUAUACUCGAUUUCCGGACUUCCCGUCCACGAUAUGAAAAGAGGGGGCGUCGACACUUACAAUACCAAGUAUUCGAGGUCCCAGUUCAACCAGAAAAAGGCAUGUUGAAGCUAUCCUUGAUGAUAGAGUGAUUGAUGCCUCAAGGAAAGAUAAACAAGAGUUCUUGGUGAAAUGGCAGGGCUGUGAUGCAGAAGAGAAUACUUGGGAGAGGGGAACAAACCUCAAAGCUUACAAGAGCCUUAUUGAAGAUUGUUUGUCAAGUAAGGCGCCGAGAACGUCGCCAACUUAGGUGGGGGAGAAUGUCAUGGGCAGCUUUCCAGUCGUGCCCUAUGACUCCUUGGGUGCGCCCCGUGGCGUCAUAGCAAGCCUCUCAAGGCCUAGCGCAACGGACGACACCGUGGUCUUGGCCGCGCCAAGUGACAAGCGUACAGGUGCCUCUGUCGCCACACCGAUAUCCCUCGCCAACGCCCAGACGCAGGCAUAUGCCAAUAGCACCACGCGGGCAGACAAUGCCGCGCGCCCCGGCGGUGAUGCCAAAGAUGCUGCUACUGACAACGGACCUAUUUCUGCUUUGUAGAAAACUUAGUCCUUUUCAUUGUAAAUAUAUAGUAGUUUUAUUUCAAGUACUUCCAUUAUGUUUCUCUAGUUUAUUGAAGUCUAGUCUUGUAGCAUUGGAUUAUUUUUUUUAAGCAUUAUUAGGGGGGAUCAAUCAUUCAAAACUUAUAGCAAGCAAUAAUUCUCUGUACUGGUGUCUCUCCCCCUCGACACUGCCUUGCUUUUUCUGUAAUAGCAUUCAUUACUGCAAUCGAGCUG
rnacentral:lncRNA from 1 species